rnacentral:rRNA from 1 species
UGGGGAAUAUUGCACAAUGGGGGAAACCCUGAUGCAGCAACGCCGCGUGAGUGAUGAAGGUUUUCGGAUCGUAAAGUUCUAUCUUUGGGGAAGAUAAUGACGGUACCCGAGGAAGAAGCCACGGCUAACUACGUGCCAGCAGCCGCGGUAAUACGUAGGUGGCGAGCGUUAUCCGGAUUUACUGGGCGUAAAGGGAGCGUAGGCGGAUGAUUAAGUGGGAUGUGAAAUACCCGGGCUCAACUUGGGUGCUGCAUUCCAAACUGGUUAUCUUGAGUGCCGGAGAGGAGAGUGGAAUUCCUAGUGUAGCGGUGAAAUGCGUAGAGAUUAGGAAGAACACCAGUGGCGAAGGCGACUCUCUGGACUGUAACUGACGCUGAGGCUCGAAAGCGUGGGGAGCAAACAG